rnacentral:rRNA from 1 species
UGAGGGACGAAAGCUAGGGGAGCGAAAGGGAUUAGAUACCCCUGUAGUCCUAGCUGUAAACGAUGGAUACUAGGUGUUGGACGUAUCGACCCGUUCAGUACCGCAGCCAACGCGAUAAGUAUCCCGCCUGGGGAGUACGCACGCAAGUGUGAAACUCAAAGGAAUUGACGGGGGCCCGCACAAGCGGUGGAGUAUGUGGUUUAAUUCGAUGCAACGCGAAGAACCUUACCUGGGCUUGACAUCCCUCGAAUCUCUGUGAAAGCGGAGAGUGCCUUCGGGAGCGAGGAGACAGGUGGUGCAUGGCUGUCGUCAGCUCGUGUCGUGAGAUGUUGGGUUAAGUCCCGCAACGAGCGCAACCCACGUCCUUAGUUGCCAUCAUUCAGUUGGGCACUCUGGGGAGACUGCCGGGGACAACUCGGAGGAAGGUGUGGAUGACGUCAAGUCAUCAUGCCCCUUACGUUCUGGGCUACACACGUACUACAAUGCUUCGGACAAAGGGCAGCCAACUAGCGAUAGUGAGCUAAUCCCAUAAACCGAGGCACAGUUCAGAUUGCAGGCUGCAACUCGCCUGCAUGAAGGAGGAAUCGCUAGUAAUCGCCGGUCAGCAUACGGCGGUGAAUACGUUCCCGGGCCUUGUACACACCGCCCGUCACACCAUGGGAGUUGGCCACGCCCGAAGCCGUUACCCUAACCAUUCGUGGAGGGGGGCGUCGAAGGUGGGGCUGAUGACUGGGGUGAAGUCGUAACAAGGUAGCCGUAGA